rnacentral:rRNA from 1 species
UACCAGCACCCCGAGUGGUCGGGACGUUUAUUGGGCCUAAAGCAUCCGUAGCCGGUUCUACAAGUCUUCCGUUAAAUCCAACUGCUUAACAGGUGGGCUGCGGAAGAUACUAUAGAGCUAGGAGGCGGGAGAGGCAAGCGGUACUCGAUGGGUAGGGGUAAAAUCCGUUGAUCCAUUGAAGACCACCAGUGGCGAAGGCGGCUUUCUGGACGGUAACUGACGCUGAGACGCGAAAGCGUGGGGAGCAAACAGG